rnacentral:rRNA from 2 species
UUUCCAGAGAUGGAUUGGUGCCUUCGGGAACUCUGAGACAGGUGCUGCAUGGCUGUCGUCAGCUCGUGUUGUGAAAUGUUGGGUUAAGUCCCGCAACGAGCGCAACCCUUAUCCUUUGUUGCCAGCGGUUAGGCCGGGAACUCAAAGGAGACUGCCAGUGAUAAACUGGAGGAAGGUGGGGAUGACGUCAAGUCAUCAUGGCCCUUACGAGUAGGGCUACACACGUGCUACAAUGGCGCAUACAAAGAGAAGCGACCUCGCGAGAGCAAGCGGACCUCAUAAAGUGCGUCGUAGUCCGGAUUGGAGUCUGCAACUCGACUCCAUGAAGUCGGAAUCGCUAGUAAUCGUAGAUCAGAAUGCUACGGUGAAUACGUUCCCGGGCCUUGUACACACCGCCCGUCACACCAUGGGAGUGGGUUGCAAAAGAAGUAGGUAGCUUAACCUUCGGGAGGGCGCUUACCACUUUGUGAUUCAUGACUGGGGUGAAGUCGUAACAA